rnacentral:rRNA from 1 species
ACUACGGGGGGCAGCAGUAGGGAAUAUUGCUCAAUGGGGGAAACCCUGAAGCAGCAACGCCGCGUGGAGGAUGAAGGUUUUCGGAUUGUAAACUCCUUUUGUUAGAGAAGAGAAUGACGGUAUCUAACGAAUAAGCACCGGCGAACGCCGUGCCAGCAGCCGCGGUAAUACGGAGGGUGCAAGCGUUACUCGGAAUCACUGGGCGUAAAGAGCGCGUAGGCGGGAUAGCAAGUCAGAUGUGAAAUCCUAUGGCUUAACCAUAGAACUGCAUUUGAAACUGUUAUUCUAGAGUAUGGGAGAGGUAGUUGGCAUUCUUGUUGUAGGGGUCAAAUCCGUAGAGAUCAAGAGGAAUACUCAUUGCGAAGGCGACCUGCUGGAACAUACCUGACGCUGAUGCGCGCACGCGUGGGGAGCAAACAGGAUUAGAUACCCUUGUAGUC